GAUGAACGCUGGCGGCGUGCCUAAUACAUGCAAGUCGAGCGAACGGACGAGAAGCUUGCUUCUCUGAUGUUAGCGGCGGACGGGUGAGUAACACGUGGAUAACCUACCUAUAAGACUGGGAUAACUUCGGGAAACCGGAGCUAAUACCGGAUAAUAUUUUGAACCGCAUGGUUCAAAAGUGAAAGACGGUCUUGCUGUCACUUAUAGAUGGAUCCGCGCUGCAUUAGCUAGUUGGUAAGGUAACGGCUUACCAAGGCAACGAUGCAUAGCCGACCCGAGAGGGUGAUCGGCCACACUGGAACUGAGACACGGUCCAGACUCCUACGGGAGGCAGCAGUAGGGAAUCUUCCGCAAUGGGCGAAAGCCUGACGGAGCAACGCCGCGUGAGUGAUGAAGGUCUUCGGAUCGUAAAACUCUGUUAUUAGGGAAGAACAUAUGUGUAAGUAACUGUGCACAUCUUGACGGUACCUAAUCAGAAAGCCACGACUAACUACGUG
rnacentral:rRNA from 1 species